UACGUAGGGGGCUCGCGUUGUCCGGAAUCAUUGGGCGUAAAGCGCGUGUAGGCGGUCCGGUAAGUCCGCUGUGAAAGUCGGGGGCUCAACCCUCGAAUGCCGGUGGAUACUGUCGGGCUAGAGUGCGGAAGAGGCGAGUGGAAUUCCUGGUGUAGCGGUGAAAUGCGCAGAUAUCAGGAGGAACACCUAUUGCGAAGGCAGCUCGCUGGGACGUAACUGACGCUGAGACGCGAAAGCGUGGGGAGCAAACAGG
rnacentral:rRNA from 1 species